AGUCAUCAAUGGAUGUAGAAUUUCAGGCUUACUCUUAUUUCAUUUCAGCAUAUUGGAGACCAUGAAUUCAGGUCUCAAACCGUGGAAGGCUGGCUUGCAGUUGUGAAUUACCAGGAAGAUUUUGUUUGUUUGUUUGCUUCCAAUGAGAAUCAAGAUCAAGAGAGGCUGGAGUGCAAUGGCGUGAUCUCAACUCCCUGCAACCUCUGCCUCCUGGGUUCAUGCAGUUCUCUGCCUCAGCCUCCCGAGUAGCUGGGAUUACAGGCGCCCGCCACUACACCCAGCAAAAUGUUGUGAGCACCUACCAUAUGCCAGGCACUGUUCAGUGAACUGGUUGUACAGGAGUGAAUGAGAUCAUCUUGAUUUUGAGAAGUUUAUAAUCUACUCAAGGGAAACACGUGUAAUCAACUAUGUUUCAGACAUAACCCCUCAAAACCAAAGCAGAACCUCUUCAAGGAGCUGAGAGAUGCAAGCCUGGCUGUCGGUGGAACCAUGGGGCUGAGUCACGUCUGCCCACAGCUGCUGCUGUUCGCAUCCCUGGGCACUGAGGCCUGAAACUCCACC
rnacentral:lncRNA from 10 species